UUCGUAGGCGUUAACACUAUUUGAAUUCCAAGAAGUGAAAUAAAGUGUGUCUACAGCUCCUUAGAAGAAACUGCCUUAGAGGUUGAAAGGAUCGUUACCUCCUUUCAACGGGAGAUCCUGAAAUGGAAGGUGAGGAAACUGACAACUCAAAGAAGAUACUAACUUUCCCACCCACCGCCACUCCUCCUAGCUGGCAGGUGGCGGAGCUGGGCUGCUCUCGAGAGGCCAGGGCCGUAUCAGUUUCAAAGAUCGCUGUCAGGGUGCGAGCAACUGAAGUUGAAAUGGCCGGAAAGCGGAAACUUUUCUUCAGAGUUGUACAGUUGGUGGAAUAUUCAUAGAAGUGUAAUGUGACACAGGAUGCCGAGUCGGUGUCGAAACUUUGUUCCAAACCCUAUUUGCUAUUUGUAAAACUGGUCCCUCAGGGGCCAGCUACGGAUAAGGUAAGGGGUGGGGGUGGGGGCUGGCUGCCGAGUGACUGAGACAGGGCUGCAGGAGGGGCUUCUGGCCACAGGAAUUAGGGUUCUCGGGAGCCGGGAGAGAUCUGGGGUCCAGCCUUUCCCACCCUGGGAGGACCACCUCUGCCUCAGGUAGGGACACCUUUCCUUCAUGUUGCCACGUAAGUUUUGUGCCUGAGUUUGAAACGUGAACUUUGGAGGAAUUGAUACAGUAUCAUUGUGCAGUUUUGCUCGUGGGGAAGUGACACCAUUCGCUUUUUCCUUGAAGGUCUCCUGGUCAGGAUGUUGAUUAAAAAAUAUCUGGCGCCAUGGACCCUGAUCAGUGUCAUCUCCCGAUGCUGAAAGUGUAUUUUAAAACGAACC